GAUUAUGGCUCAGGAUGAACGCUGGCGGCGUGCUUAACACAUGCAAGUCGAACGGAGUUUUAACGGAAGUUUCGGAUGGAAGUUAGAACUUAGUGGCGGACGGGUGAGUAACGCGUGGGUAACCUGCCUCAUACAGGGGGAUAACAGUUAGAAAUGACUGCUAACACCGCAUAAUAUAGCGAAACCGCAUGAUUUUGCUAUCAAAUAUUUAUAGGUAUGAGAUGGGCCCGCGUCUGAUUAGCUAGUUGGUGGGGUAAAGCCUACCAAGGCGACGAUCAGUAGCCGGCUUGAGAGAGUGACCGGCCACAUUGGGACUGAGACACGGCCCAAACUCCUACGGGAGGCAGCAGUGGGGAAUAUUGGACAAUGGGGGAAACCCUGAUCCAGCGAACCGCCGCGUGAGUGAAGAAGUAUUUCGGUAUGUAAAGCUCUAUCAGCAGGGAAGAUAAUGACAGUACCUGACUAAGAAGCCCCGGCUAACUACGUGCCAGCAGCGGC
rnacentral:rRNA from 1 species